rnacentral:misc_RNA from 1 species
GAUGAAGAACGUAGCGAAAUGCGAUACUUGGUGUGAAUUGCAGAAUCCCGUGAACCAUCGAGUCUUUGAACGCAAGUUGCGCCCGAAGCCACUAGGCCGAGGGCACGCCUGCCUGGGCGUCACACGUCGUUGCCCCCCCAUCUACUCCUUCGGGAUUGCGGGGGGGCGGAUGAUGGCCUCCCGUGCGCCUAGCCGCGCGGUUGGCAUAAAUACCAAGUCCUCGGCGACGCACGCCACGACAAUCGGUGGUUGCGAAACCUCGGUUGCCCGUCGUGUGCGUUCGUCGCGCAUCGAGGGCUCGAAAAAAUGCUCGGCUCCGGGUGGGCUUUCAACGCGACCCCAGGUCAGGCGGGGUUACCCGCUGAAUUUAAGCAUAUCAAUAAGCGGAGGA